rnacentral:rRNA from 1 species
UACACUCCUGCGGGAGGCAGCAGUGGGGAAUUUUGGACAAUGGGGGCAACCCUGAUCCAGCAAUGCCGCGUGAGUGAAGAAGGCCUUCGGGUUGUAAAGCUCUUUUGUCAGGGAAGAAACGGUGGUGGCGAAUAACUACUACUAAUGACGGUACCUGAAGAAUAAGCACCGGCUAACUACGUGCCAGCAGCCGCGGUAAUACGUAGGGUGCAAGCGUUAAUCGGAAUUACUGGGCGUAAAGCGUGCGCAGGCGGUUGUGUAAGUCAGAUGUGAAAUCCCCGGGCUCAACCUGGGAAUUGCAUUUGAGACUGCACGGCUAGAGUGUGUCAGAGGGGGGUAGAAUUCCACGUGUAGCAGUGAAAUGCGUAGAUAUGUGGAGGAAUACCGAUGGCGAAGGCAGCCCCCUGGGAUAACACUGACGCUCAUGCACGAAAGCGUGGGGAGCAAACAGGAUUAGAUACCCCGGUAGUCCCAU